GUGAGUUAUGCCAGUGCUGCCCCAGCUGGCUCCAUGCCCCUUGGGCUGGCAAGCUCCCACAGGACAGGUAGCCAGGCUGGGGCUGCUCUUCAC
ensembl:miRNA gga-mir-1739 gga-mir-1739